rnacentral:lncRNA from 1 species
UUAGAUCAGAUUUUAAUGAUGCAAUUAAUAUACAUGUGCAUGCAUUUAAAAAAAGGGAAACGGAAGUACUGGAACUAAUAUAGCAAACAAGGAAAGAGCUAAAAGAGAGGCUGCCAUUAUGUUCGAACAAGAAAGCAAAAUUAUUGUAGCGAAAAGAAAGGAAAUCUUCCUUUAAGGCAGCAGUUGACACUCAAGGAAAGGAUCAGCUUCUUAUCAGGAAAUCAUGAAGUCUUUCAUAAAUUGUGGAAAAUUAUAUCUACCCAUACACAACAAAAGAUUCAGUACAAAUCUCUGAUGAUAAUGGGAAGAUUUUAGAAGGAAGACAAAACAAGAGGAUCCGCAAUAAAAGGCAAUCAGAGUUCAAUCAUAUCUCCAUCUUAAGGAGAAAAUCUUGUACGUGACCAAACUUGAAUACAUCAUCAAUCAAGGAGCAAUCAAGAAAAGCAACGUCUCAGUCCUUAUUCUUGGAAAGAAUCAAUUCUUUCCAAUGAUCAAAUCUCUUGGGUUGUCAAGCCUCCACCAUCCUUCGAAGUAUUUAAACAUCCUUGUAAACCCUAGCUAGAUAUACUUUGAUCAAACCAAAUAGCUCUCUUAAAUUUAUUGCAAACAAGCAUAGUAGUCUAGAAAGAUUACUGUGUAACAAGUCAGAGAUAGAAAGAGGGUUCACAAUUGGUGGGGCAUUGUAUCAAACGAGUGACAGUAGAUUGUGC